rnacentral:rRNA from 1 species
CAACAGGCAUACCUCAGUAACGGCGAGUGAAGCGGUAACAGCUCAAAUUUGAAAUCUGGCUCUUUCAGGGUCCGAGUUGUAAUUUGUAGAAGAUGCUUUGGGCAUUGCUCCGGUCUAAGUUCCUUGGAACAGGACGUCAUAGAGGGUGAGAAUCCCGUAUGUGACUGGUGGCAUUUGUCCGUGUAAAGCUCUUUCGACGAGUCGAGUUGUUUGGGAAUGCAGCUCAAAAUGGGUGGUAUAUUUCAUCUAAAGCUAAAUAUUGGCCAGAGACCGAUAGCGCACAAGUAGAGUGAUCGAAAGAUGAAAAGCACUUUGGAAAGAGAGUUAAACAGUACGUGAAAUUGUUGAAAGGGAAGCGCUUGCAACCAGACUUGCAGGUCGUUGAUCAUCCGGGGUUCUCCCCGGUGCACUCGGCGGCUUUCAGGCCAGCAUCGGUUUGAGUGGUGGGAUAAAGGCCUUGGGAAUGUGGCUCCUCUCGGGGAGUGUUAUAGCCCAAGGUGCAAUGCCGCCUAUUCGGACCGAGGACCGCGCUUCGGCUAGGAUGCUGGCGUAAUGGUUGUAAGCGACCCGUCUUGAAACACGGACCAAGGAGUCUAACAUCUAUGCGAGUGUUUGGGUGUCAAACCCAUACGCGUAAUUAACGUGAACGGAGGUAAGAACCCUUAAGGGUGCAUUAUCGACCGAUCCUGAUGUCUUCGGAUGGAUUUGAGUAAGAGCAUAGCUGUUGGGACCCGAAAGAUGGUGAACUAUGCCUGAAUAGGGUGAAGCCAGAGGAAACUCUGGUGGAGGCUCGCAGCGGUUCUGACGUGCAAAUCGAUCGUCAAAUUUGGGUAUAGGGGCGAAAGACUAAUCGAACCA